UGUUGGCAUUAUGUCACCACUAAAGCAACCUAACUCCCGAAAUAUUUUUAGUGUCUGUUGCAGAUGAACUACAGUAAAAACACCAUCUAUCAAUGACCCCAAAUACCCGUGGGUAUUUGAAGGUAAGGAAGGUGUAGGUUGGCCACUCUCUGCAUGACUUGAAGAAGGGCAAGUAAGGAGCAAAAUACUCAAGAGGACCAUCUGCACACAGCAACACUGCCAAAGAAAGACAGGAUGCUUAUUUGUAACUAAUGCAUGAGAGAAUAAAAAUUUAAGUUCAAGUGCAAGAGAGGCUUAGGUAUUGAACUAUAGACCCUACAUAUUAGGCAAUUGGUGUGUGAACACCACAUCCAGCAAUCUCUCUUCAGAGGAGGAGGAGGAUGCCUGUGGAAACUCUACAGAAGACAUACAAAUGAGUUAUGUUCAGAACAGAGAAUCGACUCAAUUCUGCAGUUCCAACCACAUACUGAAGUCCCUGAAGAGCCACUUCUAUAUCAGAUGAUUCAUUUUCUGCGGAUGAUAAGAAAAAUAAACACCAGCAGACUCAGCAUAUGAUUAUUGAACCUCAAGUUCUAAGCCAAAAGAAGUCUCAAAAUAUAAGAAAGAAGAUACCUGCCCAAUGGGAGAGUGUUCCCACAGAGGAGCCAGCUACUACCUGCACCUCAUGCAUCACCUUUGAAACUGAGGAAUCUGAAUACUGCUAGUAUUGCUUCUGGAAUUUAUCAUCUGUAUUUGAAGAUGUAUUUUUACAACUAAGGAGCCUGUUUAGAUCAAGGAAUUCUCAAAAGGUGAUUAUGGAAGAUAACAUUCUAACAGAUAUGACAGUCAAUUUAGAAUAUAUUUUAUAGUCACCCCAAUCCCAAGUUAUGAAAUGGUGU